rnacentral:rRNA from 1 species
UGCACCACCACCUAGUUCCUGAAUGUACUGAUCUUGUCUGUUCUCAGAAGAUAAGCAGGGUUGGGCCUGGUUAGUACUUUGAUGGGAGACUUUUUUUUAACAUUUUGCAUGUAU